rnacentral:pre_miRNA from 1 species
AAUGUACUCCCUCCGUUCGGAAUUACUUGUCACAGAAAUGGAUGUAUCUAGAUGUAUUUUAGUUCUAGAUACAUCCAUUUUCGAGACAAGUAAUUCCAAACGGAGGGAGUAUCAC